GGAGACAGUAUUAGAAUCCAUCCAGAAAAACAUCCACUCCUCAUCACACAUCUUCAAGCUUGCCCAAGAUGCAUUUAAAAUAGCAACUCUCAUGGACAGUCUGCCAGACAUCACUCUUUUGAAAGUGUCUCUGGAGCUGGGCCUGCAGGUACUGCUGGUCCUUCUUGGGCACCAAAGCUUGCUGCUAAGCAGCCUCACAGGGCUGUUUUCAUCUUAGCUUUUUAGUGACUCAUUAGAGCCCAAGUGUGUUGGACUUUUUGACAGCACCACCUUUCAGAGCUCUGGUCACUUCAGCUCAGCCAGUUUUAGUCCCAGCUAAGGCAACCUCACAGUUAGAAUCCUUAUGUGUGUUCCUCAACCUUAAAAGCAUUUUUUUCCUGACUUACAGCUUUAAGAUUUCUAUUUCUUUUGUGAACGAGUGGAAAGUUAGCUCCAACCAGAG
rnacentral:lncRNA from 1 species